rnacentral:lncRNA from 1 species
AAAGCCUGCCAGCUUUGCAGCUAGGGAGCCUCUCGUAGACAAUCCUUCUGCAAUAUUUCGUGUCAUCACCUCAUGCCUGGUGUGGCGACUGGAGCCAUCUGCAGCUAUCUGGCUACCUAAGCGGGCAUUACGAGGUCUUUCCUCUGGUCCUGAGAGAAUGAAUGCUGCGUGUUUCACUGACUUCAGCCAGAUCACUCAUGCCAAAAAGAAACACUCAGCUGACGCCCUUUGAGUUAGGCCAUGUAAGGAUGGCCCAAGGAUGGGAAACCUUAAAUGCCAUUUCCUUUCUGUUGCAUCAGCAUGAGGAUGUGUCUCCAUGAAAGGUCUACAGGGAGCUGAGCACCUUUUAUUAAGGUCCCCAGUAAGGUGGUGUUAUUGUGCCUGGAAAUAACCAGCUGGAUAGAGCUGCUGCUUUCCAAGGAGUUUCUGCGGGUAUUUUUUCAGCUUCCACAGAAGUACUUGUUGGGAGACAAUUUCAGCUCCCACAGAUGUUCACAUCAGGAGACAAAAUAAAGGGAGAUUUCAGAUUUUUCCUUCCA